rnacentral:tRNA from 1 species
GAAGGUGUAGCUCAGUGGUAGAGUGAGUGCAUAGCAUGCACGAGGUCCUGGAUUUGAUCCCCAGUACCUCUG